CCUACGGGAGGCAGCAGUGGGGAAUCUUGCGCAAUGGGCGAAAGCCUGACGCAGCAACGCCGCGUGCGGGAAGAAGGUCUUCGGGUUGUAAACCGCUUUCAGCAGGAACGAAAAUGACGGUACCUGCAGAAGAAGGAGCGGCCAACUACGUGCCAGCAGCCGCGGUGACACGUAGGCUCCAAGCGUUGUCCGGAUUUAUUGGGCGUAAAGAGCUCGUAGGCGGUUCAGUAAGUCGGGUGUGAAAACUCUGGGCUCAACCCAGAGCCUGCAUUCGAAACUGCUGUGACUAGAGUUUGGUAGGGGAGCGGGGAAUUCCUAGUGUAGCGGUGAAAUGCGCAGAUAUUAGGAGGAACACCGGUGGCGAAAGCGCCGCUCUGGGCCAAUACUGACGCUGAGGAGCGAAAGCGUGGGUAGCAAACAGGAUUAGAUACCCUGGUAGUCCACGCCGUAAACGAUGGGCACUAGGUGUGGGUUUCAACUAACGAAAUCCGUGCCGUCGCUAACGCAUUAAGUGCCCCGCCUGGGGAGUACGGUCGCAAGCUAAAACUUAAGGAAUUGACGG
rnacentral:rRNA from 1 species